GGUCUAUGCAGGGCCGGCGCUAUCCGAGCGCCGGCCCCGCUGUCUUCCUGGAGGGCCGGUGGGGAGAUCAAAGAUCUCCCUCACUGGCCCACAUGCGCUCAAAUGCGGCCGCCGGCGGGGAGAGAGGGAGGGAGACAGCCGCCAGGAGAGAGGACCCGACGGAGCUCUAACUUGCAGCUCCGCCGGUUUCUCUCGCGAGAUCCGGACCGUUGCUAUGGCAACCGGUAUGAAUGGGG
rnacentral:lncRNA from 1 species